AGUGGCGGACGGGUGAGUAACGCGUGGGCAACCUGCCCCAUAGAGGGGGACAACAGCUGGAAACGGCUGCUAAUACCGCAUAACAAGGAGAGAGCGCAUGUUCUUUUCUUCAAAGAUUUAUCGCUAUGGGAUGGACCCGCGUCUGAUUAGCUAGUUGGUGGGGUAGAAGCCUACCAAGGCGACGAUCAGUAGCCGGACUGAGAGGUUGAACGGCCACAUUGGGACUGAGAUACGGCCCAGACUCCUACGGGAGGCAGCAGUCGGGAAUAUUGCGCAAUGGAGGGAACUCUGACGCAGUGACGCCGCGUAUAGGAAGAAGGUUUUCGGAUUGUAAACUAUUGUCGUUAGGGAAGAAAAAAGACAGUACCUAAGGAGGAAGCCCCGGCUAACUAUGUGCCAGCAGCCGCGGUAAUACAUAGGGGGCAAGCGUUAUCCGGAAUUAUUGGGUGUAAAGGGUGCGUAGACGGGUGUUUAAGUUGGUUGUGAAAUCCCUCGGCUCAACUGAGGAACUGCAACCAAAACUGGAUAUCUUGAGUGUCGGAGAGGAAAGUGGAAUUCCUAGUGUAGCGGUGAAAUGCGUAGAUAUUAGGAGGAACACCAGUGGCGAAGGCGACUUUCUGGACGAUAACUGACGUUGAGGCACGAAAGUGUGGGGAGCAAACAGGAUUAGAUACCCUGGUA
rnacentral:rRNA from 1 species